AUUGAACGCUGGCGGCGUGCUUAACACAUGCAAGUCGAGUGAUGAAAGCCUUAUGAACUAUUCGUAGUGAUUGAGGCCGGAUUAGCGGCGGACGGGUGAGUAACGCGUGAGCAACGUGCCUUAAACAACGGGAUAGCCUCGGGAAACCGGGAUUAAUACCGUAGGAGACACCGCCUUCACAUGAAGAAGGGGUUAAAGAUUUAUCGGUUUAAGAUGGGCUCGCGUCUGAUUAGCUAGUUGGUGAGAUAAAAGCCCACCAAGGCAACGAUCAGUAACCGGCUUGAGAGAGUGAACGGUCACAUUGGAACUGAGACACGGUCCAAACUCCUACGGGAGGCAGCAGUGGGGAAUAUUGCACAAUGGGGGAAACCCUGAUGCAGCGACGCCGCGUGAGCGAUGAAGGAAUUCGUUUCGUAAAGCUCUGUCCAAGGGGAAGAUAAUGACAGUACCCUUGGAGGAAGCCCCGGCUAAAUACGUGCCAGCCGCCGCGGUAA
rnacentral:rRNA from 1 species